CACCAGGUUGAUUCUGCCUGACGUGGACGCUUGCCUCAAGGAUUAAGCCAUGCAAGCCAGCGAAGUUUAACGGAGCGGCGAACGGCUCAGUAGGACAGGGAUAUCUGACCACGGCAGGGGAUAACCGCGGUAAGCUGCGGCUAAUACGAGCGUGGGUGAGUUCCUGGCCUAUCAGCUAGGCGGUACGGUAAGUGCGUACCGCGGCGACGACGGGUAACGGGGAAUCGGGGUUUGAUUCCGGAGAGGGAGCCUGAGAGAUGGCUGCCACGUCCAAGGACGGCAGCAGGCGCGAAACUUACCCACUUGGAGGACCAGAGGUAGUGACGAGGCGUGAACCAUGAGGCCAGUGCAAACAGCUGGCCGAAAGCGACUGGAGGGCAAGUCUGGUGCCAGCAGCCGCGGUAAUUCCAGCUCCAGGAGCGUCUGUGUGCGUUGCUGCGGUUAAAACGUGCGUAGUCGGGCACAGGGCCAGCAUCAAAUGCGCAGUCUCUUGCUGUGCGGCGUGCUGGAACCUACGCCUAGGGACCGGAGCGGGGCAAUGGUAUUCGGCAGCGAGGGGUGAAAACCGAUGACCUGCCGAGGAGCGACAGAGGCGAAGGCGGUUGUCCGGGACGGGUCCGACGAUCAAGCGCGUGAGCAGGAGGAUCGAAGGCGAUUAGAGACCGUCGUAGUUCCUGCAGUAAACGAUGCCGACGGGGGCGCAGGCGCUGUGCCCCAAGGGAAACCGAGUGUAUGGGCUCCGGGGAUAGUACGGGCGCAAGCCGGAAACUUGAAGAAAUUGACGGAAGGACACCACAAGGAGUGGAGUGUGCGGGUUAAUUUGACUCAACGCGGGGCAACUUACCGGGGCAGGCAACACUGCGAGGAGGGGUGCGAUAGGAUCGUGCUCCUGAGGGUGUUGCGCGUGGUGCAUGGCCGUUCUUAACACGUGGGGUGACCUGUCUGGUUAAAUCCGAUAACGCGUGAGACCCUGGAUAGUGACGGCAUUCGAUGAGAGUGAGGAAGCGCGGGUCGAUAACAGGUCUGUGAUGCCCGUAGAUGUCCCGGGCGCCACGCGCACUACAGUGGGGGAGGCUGCGUGAGACGGGGCUCCCCUGUGGUGGGGAUCGGCGCUUGUAAGUGCGCCGUGAACGCGGAAUUCCUAGUAGCGUGCUGUCACCAACGGCAGGCGAAUGCGUCCCUGUUCUUUGUACACACCGCCCGUCGUUAUCUAAGAUGGAUGUGCGGAUGAAGGCGGCUAGGUCGCAAGAAUCCGUGCCACUAGAUUGGAUACAAGUCGUAACAAGGUAACCANCANGUUGNUUCUUC
rnacentral:rRNA from 10 species